GACGAACGCUGGCGGCGUGCUUAACACAUGCAAGUCGAACGGAAAGGCCCUGCUUUUGCGCGGUUCUCGAUUGGCGAACGGGUGAGUAACACGCGAGUAACCUGCCCUUGUCUUUGGGAUAACUCCUGGGAACUGGGGCUCAUAUCGGAUAGGAGCUCCUGCUCCAUGGGGGUGGUUGGAAAGUGUCGGCGGUUGUGGAUGGACUCGCGGCUUAUCAGCUUGUUGGGGGGGUAGUGGCUUACCAAGGCUUUGACGGGUAGCCGGCCUGGGAGGGUGACCGGGCACAUUGGGCCUGAGAUAGGCAGCAGACUCCAACGGUCGGCAGCGGUCGAGAAUAUGGCGCAGUGAGCGGAAGCCAGAUACAGCGACGCCGCGUACGUGAUGACGGCUUUCUGGUUAUGAACAGCUUUCGCCUGUGCUGAAGCGUGAUUGACGGUAAUGGGUAAGGAAGCACCGGCUAACUACGUG
rnacentral:rRNA from 1 species